CCUGGUGCCUCCUCUACCCUUCAGGGUGCUGUGUGGCACCCUUCUGAGGAAGCCAGAGGCACCUGCCUCCAUCCUUAGGCAGAGUAGCCACCCCAACUCUCCACCAUUAGGAGUUUCCCCUGGUGAAAAACCCACAUUGUCAUAAUAAGAGCAAGCAUGUAUCUGUGAGGGUGGGCAGGGGUGGUCUCACAAUGAUAGGAUGGGUUUGCUUGCUGUUCAAACUACAUGAUGUGUCCUAUGCAGGACAUUGUGACAAAAGAGACCCAGGCAGUGCCCACUCUCCCUGUAGCCUAGCAGGGGACAAACAAGCCCUGUGCAAGUAGUCAGUGUCACCAUGACAGGAAAGUGAAUAAGUCUCACCAGAUCUGAUGACUUGAUAAACGGAAGCUCCCCUGCACAUGCUCUCUCUUGCCUGCCGCCAUGUAAGACAUGACUUUGCUCUCCAUUCACCUUCAGCCGUGACUGUGAGACCUCCCCAGCUAUGCUGAACUGUGAGUCAAUGAAAUCUCUUUCCUCUCUAAAUUACCCAGCUCAGGUAUGUAUUUAUUAGCAGCAUGAGAACAGGCUAAUAUAAGGAGCAGGAGAGGGAAUGUAGCUUUCCAAACUGGAGGUGGGCGGGCCACCAGGAACACAGAGUAGGAGGUAAGACGGAGAAGGGCAGUGUUGGAAGGAAUUAGCCACGUGAGGAAGGUGAGGGGCAGGUGAAGACAUGGAUGGAUCAGGUGGUCACACAGGCCCAAAUCAUACAGUGACAGUAGCUCACAGAUUUAUUACAAAAGCGAGUUCUGUGCAUUUGAAUAGUGAUAUCUCAUUUACUCCUCACCACCACCAAUGAGGUAGGCACUGUUAACGUCCCCACCUGUGCCAAGAGUCCUCCUGGUGAUGCAGGUGGGGCCAACUGCACGAUGCCAGUGGGAGCCACAGGACAGGUAAGCCCACCAAGGAGAGACAUAAAAAGAAUAAGAAAGACCUGCAGCUGGGCCCUGGGAAUCCCUCCCCCCCACUCAGUCCCCAGGUCUGGGGAGGCAGGGAGGAGCCAGGAUCUAUCCCAAAAGCCAAGAAGGGCAAAGCUUGCAGGUAAGGCAAAGGCUAGACAAGAACAAGUUUGCUUCUGCAAAGUUCUGCAGAGAGGAGAGCCUGACUGCAAAGCUCAGGGGAGGCACUGGAGCCCAAGAGGCAGGAACAGACACCACACCUCUCCUCUGGAACCCAGCAGUGACUAAGACAGCAGCUAUGACCCAGGGCUGGAGGGGGCAUGAGGGUGUUCCAGGGAUGCCCAUGCUAUUAUCAGGUGGCAGUGAGAAGCCACAGAGGAGAGAAAAGUCACAACCGGUGGACAUUGAAAAGGGAGUGUCACAGAAGAGCAGCCACCCAGCAAGGGGAGGGACGGGAUCCAGGCCUGUCCUAGGGUCAGAAUGAGGACAGGGAGAGGAAGAGCAUCCCCCAGGGCUUGGUGGGAGGCAGCACCUAUAGCUCAAAGGAAAGGUAGAGGCAAGAAAGGAAGGGAAGGGAAAUUAUUUUCCCAAAAGAAAAGGGAUAAAGAAAACCUGGAGGCUGUAGACAGAGAAAUAAAUCUAGAAAUCUAGUUGCUGUGGACUGUGCGGUUGAAAAAUACCAGCAGACAAUAAAAGGCCAGCAGAGCAGAGGCAAGCAUCUCUUUGCAGCUGUGCUCCCAGCCAGGAGACUCAGAGGGGAAUGCCAAGCACCAAGAGCCCCCCAAGCUGGGAACUCUCUGAGGCAGACGUUAUCACCCUGAGUUUCCAGGUGGGAGGUCCAGAAACAUGCCCCAAUCACUGUUAGGUGGAGGCAGCUUUGGGAUUCCCACCUAGGUUUUCUGACAAAAAAGAAUCAUACCCUCUCUUUUCGCCUCUCCAUUGUCUCUUAGCAAACCUAUAGGACCUAGAACUCUCAACGAAGGAAAAAUUCCCACAAGGAGGAGAGUUCGGGCAGGGACUUUGGAGCCCGGAAGGAAAACGCUCUGUGGCGGAGUGAGGCGGAGAGUAUUCACCGUAUUUUGCAAGCACUGAUAAAACGGAGCGUUGCCUUGGGAACUGAGACCUAAACCAAGCUCUGCCGUCCACUGCCUGCAUGACUGUGGCCGAAUGACCAGGUGACGCUGGGCCUCAAAUCUCAUCCACACAGAGAAGCGGGGAGAGCUGGACUCUGAGGACCUUGCCAGAUCUAACACAGGAAAGCACCAGGCACAUAGCCCGAAAAGUUAACCUAAGUGGACCAAAAGAGCUCAGAAUAAGGGCCCCUCUGUCUAUACCCAAGGCCCUCUCCAGCCAGCCUUCAUUCCAAAAUGCAGGAGAUCAGCCUGGGCCCCACCUCAACUUUGAAUGAGAAUGAGACGCUUUCCAGGGAGGCAGGUAUUUGGCCCACCCAUUUCUCGGCCCUCCCUCACAAGUCAGGAGGCAGCAAAGGCCAGAAGAGAGGCUCUCAGAACACAGUCAGGAGGCAUCGCUUCAUCUCAGCAUCUCUGGUUCAUUUUCUUACCAACUCCCACGUGCACAGGAAUGUAAUCCUCAAUUUCUCCGCUUAUAACCAACACCGGGCUUUAUCUCGUCUCAGAUGAUGCGGUGAGUGGGAAGAAAACGAAAGGGAAAGAGCUGACACAGAAAGAGGCCGUGGACCUUUGUGGAACUCACCGUUUUAGGCGUAUGACGCAGAUACGGGGAGAGAACUGGGGAGAGUAAGGGGUGGAUCAGACACUUCUGGAUGUACCAAACCUUCUUGCAGCAUUGCAGUGUUUUCAGAAAAGCCUUCAGAAGUCACCUGGGUCCAUCACUUCCUUUCGACAGACUUUAGAGACUGAGCUCAGAGAGGCUGGGACUCUCCCGGAGGUAAAUGAGGCCAGCGCGGGAGCCAGGUCGGGGACUCCCAGCCCACUGCCCUCCCCAGCAGACCAGGUGAAUUCCUUAACUUCCUCCCUGGGCUUAGUUCAAAGUUCUCGGUUCUGUUAACUUCCUCCCUGAACUGCCAUCAAGUUCUCGGCUUAGCGGAAAUAUUUUUAGCCUUGACCACAUCGUGGACAGCCGUUCUGUUCUCCAUGAUCCAAGUGCUCAGACGAAAGGAAAACGAAGCGUCCAGAGCAAUUCUGGGCCCAGAUAUCUGCACGAUCAGUUCUCUCAGGGCUGGGCUGUCAGCUGAGCUAAGGGAGGCAGACGCCUUCUGGGUCAGGGUCUGUGUUUUGUUUCUGAUGUAAACAGAGAACUGAAGGUCUGUUUUAACUGCCUCGUUACUGAUAAGAUGACAGACUUUCCCACUGUUCCUCUCAGCACAAGUCACAAGAAGCGCUAGCAAAACAAAUCCACGGUCACAUCCUUUGUCACUGUGAUAUGUUUAGCAGAUCGGACGUGUCUUGGGGAACAUGACUACUUAGCCAGGCUGGCAGGGCCUCAUCACCAAACAGCUUUUAAUCCAGCAAGAGAACUUAGAAAACAGUCUUCAGAAAGAAUCUGAGGGGUGGUAGGGGGAUGUCAAGGUUGAGCUCUCCAUCUGGACCUGUGGUUUUUCAGGAAGGUUCCUCUCUAAACCACGGCAGCUCUGGCCUGAUGGGCUAUCACAGCUCCAGAGGAAUGCCAUUAUCACAGCCUGGGAACAUGCACACAGAACCCACACCGCAUGAGGGGGUCAGAGCUAACGAACCUGGGGUUGCCAUUUCCUUCUCUCUCAGGAGCAAAGUAGCACAAGUAUCCCACUUGUUUGCAAAGAAAUCUGUCAAUAGGGGCCUAACAGAAUAUGGAAAAGCAGCCAGCGAUUCACCUUCUACUUCGAGCAGGGAUGCCUGCUCCUAAGGUGCGAUCCCCAAGCUCUGGGACUUCCCGUUCUUGGUCACCCUGAAUUGAGGGAACGGAAGUCCAUAUGAAUAAGAGACCAGAGGAAAGUGCCCUUCGGAACAGAGAAGAAUGGAUAGAGAGGAUAAAAACAGAAAGCAGAAAGUGGUUACAAAUAACCAUCUAUGGCCGGGCGCGGUGGCUCAAGCCUGUAAUCCCAGCACUUUGGGAGGCCGAGGCGGGUGGAUCACGAGGUCAAGAGAUCGAGACCAUCCUGGUCAACAUGGUGAAACCCCGUCUCUACUAAAAAUAUAACAAAUUAGCUGGGCAUGGUGGUGUGUGCCUGUAAUCCCAGCUACUCGGGAGGCUGAGGCAGGAGAAUCGCCUGAACCCAGGAGGCGGAGGUUGCGGUGAGCCGAGAUCGCGCCAUUGCACUCCAGCCUGGGUAA